UCAUUAAUACAAACACUUGACUUACAAUAAACUCGGACCAAAUUUACAUCUAAUUCAUCCAAUAUUCUCACAUAAUAAGAAUUAUAUAUGCUCAAAACAACUUUUAUAUGACCCCACUUUGUCCCAACAGAACUCCCACUCAAAACAAUACCAUGGAGAUUAAGAAAACUACAAUAUAAUGUCACUUAAAUACAAAUUUCCAUUAUAUAAAUUUCUCAUCAACUUAUACAAACACUUGUUUUACAUGCCCGGUUUACCCCCUAGGACUUAUAUACACCUCUUGUUAUGCCUAUUACUGAUAGCACAAGAUCAUAGGUCCAAAAUUAUUCAUAUUUAUAGAAAGCAAACAACAUGAAGCAUGAAUCCAAAAAAGAGAUAUUCAAUUCAAAAUACUCGAGAUAGGAUGGUCUGAUUAGAAGAAAACGUGGGAACAAAAUAAGCGGCACGCCAAUGCCAGAAUGCGCUCUAUGAUACAUCUUAAUUUAGCAUAGUCAUAAGCAAAUUUAGGCAUAAUGAGGGCUUUUAAAAAUGAGGUUGUGGUGAUGCUAGGAGGAUUUUAACUUGCUAUUGUACUAAAGAAAAUCUCAAAAAAUAUCAAAUAAAAUGAUUCAAAAGACACUAGUUCAGACAAUGCCGAACUGGUGUAGCAUGAUCGAUGCAUGUGAGAAAAUCAACAUGGCAUGAGAUGGGAAAGGAAAUUCAACUUAAAGAGACCAAGAUGGGUGAAUUAUCUUCUGAUAUGAUGGAUUUACAGCAAGAAUGAAAUUUGGAGAAGAUGGUUUCCUUGAUUCUAUAGGCUCAUGAAGUAACUAUGUGCAAUGGGGGAUGACACCAUGAUCAUCAAACUGUUUUUUUGUGUGUGGGAGGGGUUGCCCCUAUUUCUUCUCUUCUCUCUCUAUCUCUCUCUCUCUUCAACUCUCUAAUGAACCAAAGGCGAGGA
rnacentral:lncRNA from 1 species